rnacentral:rRNA from 1 species
CCUACGGGAGGCAGCAGUGGGGAAUAUUGGGCAAUGGAGGAAAGUCUGACCCAGCAAUGCCGCGUGAAUGAAGAAGGUCUUCGGAUUGUAAAGUUCUUUCAUCAGGGAAGAAGUCAAUGACGGUACCUGAAGAAUAAGCUCCGGCUAACUACGUGCCAGCAGCCGCGGUAAUACGUAGGUGGCAAGCGUUGUCCGGAUUUACUGGGUGUAAAGGGCGUGUAGCCGGGCUGACAAGUCAGAUGUGAAAUCCGGGGGCUCAACCUCCGAACUGCAUUUGAAACUGUUGGUCUUGAGUAUCGGAGAGGCAGGCGGAAUUACUAGUGUAGCGGUGAAAUGCGUAGAUAUUAGGAGGAACAUCAGUGGCGAAGGCGGCCUGCUGGACGAUAACUGACGGUGAGGCGCGAAAGCGUGGGGAGCAAACAGGAUUAGAUACCCUUGUAGUC